AAGAAUCUCUCAUAUCUCCUCAAUUCCCGUCUCACCGUCAUGUGAGACUGAAGUCAAAUCCAAACACAUAUUUGAAGAUUGUUGGAUGAUGUCUUCGGUUAACAAUGUGAUAUUUAGGUAAGAAGAGCCCCCAACUUCAAUAGCUUUUUUUGCCUUCUCUCCAAACACUUUAGCACGUUUCCUUCUCUCUAUUCCUUCAUUUCCUUCGUCAAUCAAUUGGUAUAUCGCGUUUUUAACUUCUUCUAUUUUCAAAAUGAAACCAGAUUCCUCAUCGCCAAACAUCGUAGGUUUUUCAAUUCCAAGGUUGACUCCGAUUUUUAAUAUUUGUACUACAAGUUUCUGGUUGCAAAACUGGUCUGCAAGGAGCGGCAAUGUUAUCAAUGGGACGCCAGCAGAAAUACC
rnacentral:lncRNA from 1 species